rnacentral:tRNA from 1 species
GCUUGUGGCUCAGUGGUAGAGCACUGCCUCACAUGUGUGAGGAGCUGGGUUCAAUUCUCAACACUGCA